GCCGGCAUAGCCAAGUGGUAAGGCAACGGAUUGCAAAUCCGUCACCCCCAGUUCGAGUCUGGGUGCCGGCUCCA
rnacentral:tRNA from 1 species